GGGCAGCAUGGAAGAAGCUUGCUUCUCCUGAUGGCGACCGGCGCACGGGUGCGUAACGCGUAUCAAACCUGCCUCAUACUCGGGGAUAGCCUUGCGAAAGUAAGAUUAAUACCCGAUGUUAUUAGUUCGUCGCAUGGUGGACUAAUCAAAGAUUUAUCGGUAUGAGAUGGUGAUGCGUCCGAUUAGGUAGUAGGCGGGGUAACGGCCCACCUAGCCUUCGAUCGGUAGGGGUUCUGAGAGGAAGGUCCCCCACACUGGAACUGAGACACGGUCCAGACUCCUACGGGAGGCAGCAGUGAGGAAUAUUGGUCAAUGGACGGAAGUCUGAACCAGCCAAGUAGCGUGCAAGAUGACGGCCCUCCGGGUUGUAAACUGCUUUUAGUUGGGAAUAAAAAAAGGGACGUGUCCCUUAUUGUAUGUACCUUCAGAAAAAGGACCGGCUAAUUCCGUGCCAGCAGCCGCGGUAAUACAGAAGGUCCAGGCGUUAUCCGGAUUUAUUGGGUUUAAAGGGAGCGUAGGCGGAUUGUUAAGUCAGCGGUUAAAGGGUGUGGCUCAACCAUACAUUGCCGUUGAAACUGGCGAUCUUGAGUGCAGACAGGGAUGCCGGAAUUCGUGGUGUAGCGGUGAAAUGCUUAGAUAUCACGAAGAACUCCGAUCGCGAAGGCAGGUGUCCGGGCUGCAACUGACGCUGAGGCUCGAAAGUGUGGGUAUCAAACAGGAUUAGAUACCCUGGUAGUCCACACAGUAAACGAUGUAUACUCGCGGUUUGCGAUAGACAGUAAGCCGCCAAG
rnacentral:rRNA from 1 species